AUACGGUGUCUUAUUUUUUUCAGCUGUUUUGAAUUUGUUUUACAGAUUACCAUCUGGGUUAGCAGCAUAUCUUUUUACUCAUAUGCUGAUAUUGCAUUUCUAAGUUCAUCUGAUCGAGGCAAAGGUAUCACUGAUCUAAAAUCUGCUCUUCAGACAAUUUUUGCUGAGACUCUUGUUGAUAGCAAGGAUGAAUUCCUUCAAAAAUUUAUGGUGGAUAACGAUUUUGUUAGAACAAACAUCUCAGAGGGAGAAGUUUUGAAGCACAAAGCUUUCAAGGAGAAGAUUUGUGAUUCUAAUCAGCAUACAGAUUCAUCUGCUUCAAAUGUUGAGGUUGUAUUUACAUUUAGGCUCAAUGUAUUGCUUUUUGGUCAA